rnacentral:antisense_RNA from 1 species
CAGGAGUUUGAGACCAGCCUGGCUAACAUAGUGAACCCUGUCUCUACUAAAAAUACAAAAAAUUAGCCAGGCCUGGUGGCAGGCACCUGUAAUUCCAGCUACUCGAGAGGCUGAGGCAGGAGAAUCGCUUGAAACCGGGAGGUGGAGGUUGCAGUGACCCAAGAUCGUGCCAUUGCCCCCUGGCCUGGGCGACAGUGCGAGACUCUCAAAAAAAUAAGUAAAUUAAUAAAAGGAGACCUAGG